UAGAAUCCAGAAAGGUAUAUUCUUGUCCUUGGCUGCUUCCUCCUCUGGUUCUUUCUUUCCUUGCUCUGCUUCCUGACCACAUGAAGUGGGCCCUUCCGCUACGAUAGUCUGCCUCAUCAUAAGCCUAAAACAAUGGCUGACUAUGGACUGAAACUUAUGAAAUCGUGAGCCAAAGAAAAUCUUUCCUCCUUUAAGUUAUCAAGGUCAGAAGAGAGAAGUGCUGCAGAUCCCCAGACUCAGAAUCUUUGAUGAAGAUACCCACAGGGAACCACGGAACAACAGAUGACCUUACAAGUCAAAGAAAGAACUCACUGUACCUUGGACUGGGGAGCCACGUCAAGCAACAAGCCAGAGUGCUCAAAGACAUCUGAAGUGGAUCAGUAACAAUGUUCAGACAGCAACAUUCAUAAAUUCUAUGCUGAGGAGCGCUAUUCUAAAGGAGAAGAGACGUGUGUUGAAUUUUGAAGAACAAACGAUAUGAAGAAAAGAAAGUCCGGGGGUUCCAGACGAGGAAGAGAGG